rnacentral:rRNA from 1 species
GGGUUGUGAGGUUAAGCGACUAAGCGUACACGGUGGAUGCCCUGGCAGUCAGAGGCGAUGAAGGACGUGCUAAUCUGCGAAAAGCGUCGGUAAGGUGAUAUGAACCGUUAUAACCGGCGAUGUCCGAAUGGGGAAACCCAGUGUGAUUCGUCACACUAUCGUUAACUGAAUACAUAGGUUAACGAGGCGAACCGGGGGAACUGAAACAUCUAAGUACCCCGAGGAAAAGAAAUCAACCGAGAUUCCCCCAGUAGCGGCGAGCGAACGGGGAGCAGCCCAGAGUCUGAAUCAGCUUGUGUGUUAGUGGAACGGUCUGGAAAGUCCGACGGUACAGGGUGAUAGUCCCGUACACCAAAAUGCACAGGUUGUGAACUCGAAGAGUAGGGCGGGACACGUGGUAUCCUGUCUGAAUAUGGGGGACCAUCCUCCAAGGCUAAAUACUCCUGACUGACCGAUAGUGAACCAGUACCGUGAGGGAAAGGCGAAAAGAACCCCGGCGAGGGGAGUGAAAAAGAACCUGAAACCGUGUACGUACAAGCAGUGGGAGCACCUUCGGGUGUGACUGCGUACCUUUUGUAUAAUGGGUCAGCGACUUAUAUUCUGUAGCAAGGUUAACCGUAUAGGGGAGCCGCAGGGAAACCGAGUCUUAACUGGGCGUUAAGUUGCAGGGUAUAGACCCGAAACCCGGUGAUCUAGCCAUGGGCAGGUUGAAGGUUGGGUAACACUAACUGGAGGACCGAACCGACUAAUGUUGAAAAAUUAGCGGAUGACUUGUGGCUGGGGGUGAAAGGCCAAUCAAACCGGGAGAUAGCUGGUUCUCCCCGAAAGCUAUUUAGGUAGCGCCUCGUGAAUUCAUCUUCGGGGUAGAGCACUGUUUCGGCUAGGGGGUCAUCCCGACUUACCAACCCGAUGCAAACUACGAAUACCGAAGAAUGUUAUCACGGGAGACACACGGCGGGUGCUAACGUCCGUCGUGAAGAGGGAAACAACCCAGACCGCCAGCUAAGGUCCCAAAGUCAUGGUUAAGUGGGAAACGAUGUGGGAAGGCACAGACAGCCAGGAUGUUGGCUUAGAAGCAGCCAUCAUUUAAAGAAAGCGUAAUAGCUCACUGGUCGAGUCGGCCUGCGCGGAAGAUGUAACGGGGCUAAACCAUGCACCGAAGCUGCGGCAGCGACACUAUGUGUUGUUGGGUAGGGGAGCGUUCUGUAAGCCUGCGAAGGUGUGCUGUGAGGCAUGCUGGAGGUAUCAGAAGUGCGAAUGCUGACAUAAGUAACGAUAAAGCGGGUGAAAAGCCCGCUCGCCGGAAGACCAAGGGUUCCUGUCCAACGUUAAUCGGGCAGGGUGAGUCGACCCCUAAGGCGAGGCCGAAAGGCGUAGUCGAUGGGAAACAGGUUAAUAUUCCUGUACUUGGUGUUACUGCGAAGGGGGGACGGAGAAGGCUAUGUUAGCCGGGCGACGGUUGUCCCGGUUUAAGCAUGUAGGCUGGUUGUCCAGGCAAAUCCGGAUAAUCAAGGCUGAGGUGUGAUGACGAGGCACUACGGUGCUGAAGUAACAAAUGCCCUGCUUCCAGGAAAAGCCUCUAAGCAUCAGGUAACAUUAAAUCGUACCCCAAACCGACACAGGUGGUCAGGUAGAGAAUACCAAGGCGCUUGAGAGAACUCGGGUGAAGGAACUAGGCAAAAUGGUGCCGUAACUUCGGGAGAAGGCACGCUGGUGUGUAGGUGAAGUCCCUGCGGAUGGAGCUGAGACCAGUCGAAGAUACCAGCUGGCUGCAACUGUUUAUUAAAAACACAGCACUGUGCAAACACGAAAGUGGACGUAUACGGUGUGACGCCUGCCCGGUGCCGGAAGGUUAAUUGAUGGGGUUAUCCGUAAGGAGAAGCUCUUGAUCGAAGCCCCGGUAAACGGCGGCCGUAACUAUAACGGUCCUAAGGUAGCGAAAUUCCUUGUCGGGUAAGUUCCGACCUGCACGAAUGGCGUAAUGAUGGCCAGGCUGUCUCCACCCGAGACUCAGUGAAAUUGAACUCGCUGUGAAGAUGCAGUGUACCCGCGGCAAGACGGAAAGACCCCGUGAACCUUUACUAUAGCUUGACACUGAACAUUGAGCCUUGAUGUGUAGGAUAGGUGGGAGGCUUUGAAGCGUGGACGCCAGUCUGCGUGGAGCCAACCUUGAAAUACCACCCUUUAAUGUUUGAUGUUCUAACGUUGGCCCCUUACCGGGGUUGCGGACAGUGUCUGGUGGGUAGUUUGACUGGGGCGGUCUCCUCCCAAAGCGUAACGGAGGAGCACGAAGGUUAGCUAAUCCUGGUCGGACAUCAGGAGGUUAGUGCAAUGGCAUAAGCUAGCUUGACUGCGAGCGUGACGGCGCGAGCAGGUGCGAAAGCAGGUCAUAGUGAUCCGGUGGUUCUGAAUGGAAGGGCCAUCGCUCAACGGAUAAAAGGUACUCCGGGGAUAACAGGCUGAUACCGCCCAAGAGUUCAUAUCGACGGCGGUGUUUGGCACCUCGAUGUCGGCUCAUCACAUCCUGGGGCUGAAGUAGGUCCCAAGGGUAUGGCUGUUCGCCAUUUAAAGUGGUACGCGAGCUGGGUUUAGAACGUCGUGAGACAGUUCGGUCCCUAUCUGCCGUGGGCGCUGGAGAAUUGAGGGGGGCUGCUCCUAGUACGAGAGGACCGGAGUGGACGCAUCACUGGUGUUCGGGUUGUCAUGCCAAUGGCACUGCCCGGUAGCUAAAUGCGGAAGAGAUAAGUGCUGAAAGCAUCUAAGCACGAAACUUGCCCCGAGAUGAGUUCUCCCUGAGACUUUAAGUCUCCUGAAGGAACGUUAAAGACGAUGACGUUGAUAGGCCGGGUGUGUAAGCGCAGCGAUGCGUUGAGCUAACCGGUACUAAUGAACCGUGAGGCUUAACCUUACAACGCCGAAG